UACGGGGGGGGUAAGCGUUGUUCGGAAUUACUGGGCGUAAAGGGCUCGUAGGCGGCCAACUAAGUCGGACGUGAAAUCCCCAGGCUCAACCUGGGAACUGCGUCCGAUACUGGAUAGCUUGAAUUCGGGAGAGGGAUGCAGAAUUCCAGGUGUAGCGGUGAAAUGCGUAGAUAUCUGGAGGAAUACCGGUGGCGAAGGCGGCAUCCUGGACCGACAUUGACGCUGAGGAGCGAAAGCUAGGGGAGCAAACGGG
rnacentral:rRNA from 1 species